rnacentral:lncRNA from 1 species
GGUCUUUUGAGACAGGGUUUCUCUGUGUAGCCCUGGCUAUCCUGGAACUCACUCUGUAGACCAGGACAGCCACAGAUACAUAGUGAGGCCCUCUCCCCUCUCCCCACAAAAAAGGGGGUGGGGGUGGGCAGCAAAUCCCUAACAGUUCUUGGGCAAGAACUGUUUCACAAGAAAACGUCCCUGAUGGGAGGAUGGCUUUCCUGAGUGGGUCACUUGGCUUCAGAGAGUUAACACUUGCUAACCCUCACCCACUGUCACCCUCUCCCCUCCGCACAGGCAUACAUGGGCACUUCUCCCAAAACAGUCACAGGGCUGGUAUGAGGUUAGAAGUACACUACGUCUUAGCCUGCUUUACCUCAAGCUGCUAUGUGACAGUGUAUGUGCGGGGCAGAUUACUAUCUCGAAUAGGAUUUCUCAAACUCUGAUAAGGGAUCCGGCUGGUUCAUCACUGAGGGACGUUGGGCCCGGGACUGGGGAGUGGGCACGUUUCCCGGCGACCUCUCCCUGCGCCGCGAGGCGGGGACACCAACGACAAUUUAGCGGCCUGGCCCUUCCCGACGUUCCGAGCCGUUCGCGGACGCACUCACAGGGUCAUGCGCACACUCCACUUCACCUCCACCGCCUCCAGCUGACCCCAGAAGAAGCGAUCGUUAAACUGCAGGAAGAGCGCCUGCAGGUCUGGGGUGGGGUCCACCAGCUCCCAGGACGCGUCCACCAACGACACGGGCUCCCGCGCCGCCGCCGCGCGCCGCGCCAUCUGCACGUCCCACUCCUCCUGCAGCCGCAACGCGACCACCAGAUCCUCGUCCAUCCCGCUACUCCCACCUCGGCCGCUCCCAAGACGCCGGUCGGGCUCGUGCGGCGCACGGAUCUCGCGAGGCCUCCCGGCCCUGCUGUCAGGGCGCGCGGGCUAGCCUCGAACGCCUAACCGAAGGUGGCUCGGCGCUGCCCCGCGGGCACAGGCUUAGGAACGCUGGGCUCGGGCUGGGGACGGCUUUAGGCAGCCGGUUGUCUCCUGACAGCCGCUGAGGUCCGGCGACACACGUCAAGUCUGGUCCGUGCCGGACCCUCCUCU